rnacentral:rRNA from 1 species
GACGAACGCUGGCGGCGUGCCUAAUACAUGUAAGUAGAACGCAGUUGCGAACGGGUGAGUAACGCGUAGGUAACUGCCUCAUAGCGGGGGAUAACUAUUGGAAACGAUAGCUAAUACCGCAUACUUUGAGUUGGACCUUCGUUUUAUUAGCUAGUUGGUGUGGUAAAGGCUCACCAAGGCGACGAGACAUAGCCGACCUGAGAGGUGGAUCGGUCAAACUGGGAGUGGGGCAGGGCCCAGACGCCUACGGGGGGCAGCAGGUGGGAAGCUUGGGCAAUGGGCGGAAGUCGGAACGGGCAACGCCACGUGAGUGACGAAGGUUUUCGGAUCGUAAAGCUCUGUUGUUAGAGAAGCGGUAACGAACCAAAAAGGGACGGCUAACUACGUGCCAGCAGCCGCGGUAAUUC